UAGAUCAAUAGGCCUUUAUCCUAUAACCUCUUAGUUAACAACUAAGCACCCGUCAUUCAGGCUCUAAUCUA
rnacentral:tRNA from 1 species